UACGAAGGGGACUAGCGUUGUUCGGAAUCACUGGGCGUAAAGCGCACGUAGGCGGACUCUUAAGUCGGUGGUGAAAUCCUGGAGCUCAACUCCAGAACUGCCUUCGAUACUGAGAGUCUUGAGUCCGGGAGAGGUGAGUGGAACUGCGAGUGUAGAGGUGAAAUUCGUAGAUAUUCGCAAGAACACCAGUGGCGAAGGCGGCUCACUGGCCCGGUACUGACGCUGAGGUGCGAAAGCGUGGGGAGCAAACAGG
rnacentral:rRNA from 1 species